GGAACGGGUGAGUAACGCGUGAGGAACCUGCCUCAAAGAGGGGGACAACAGUUGGAAACGACUGCUAAUACCGCAUAAGCCCACGGUGCCGCAUGGCACAGAGGGAAAAGGAGCAAUCCGCUUUGAGAUGGCCUCGCGUCCGAUUAGCUAGUUGGUGAGGUAACGGCCCACCAAGGCGACGAUCGGUAGCCGGACUGAGAGGUUGAACGGCCACAUUGGGACUGAGACACGGCCCAG
rnacentral:rRNA from 1 species